rnacentral:rRNA from 1 species
GCCCUACGGGGGGCAGCAGUGGGGAAUAUUGCACAAUGGGGGAAACCCUGAUGCAGCAACGCCGCGUGAGUGAAGAAGUAUUUCGGUAUGUAAAGCUCUAUCAGCAGGGAAGAAAAAAGACGGUACCUGACUAAGAAGCCCCGGCUAACUACGUGCCAGCAGCCGCGGUAAUACGUAGGGGGCAAGCGUUAUCCGGAUUUACUGGGUGUAAAGGGAGCGUAGACGGCAUAGCAAGUCUGAAGUGAAAGCCCGUGGCUCAACCGCGGAACUGCUUUGGAAACUGUUAAGCUGGA